CUUAAAAAUAGUUCAUACACAAUGUAAUGAUAGGGGAGCAUGCAUGAAAUUGGCAAAUAAAAGUGAAAAUAUAUCGACUAUUAUUGCUAUGCAGAAUAAUUGCCUGCGUAACAAAAUAUAUUAAUCAUCAUCAUCAUCAUAACCAUAUACGAAUGCUGUUAUUGUCGAUUCGAAACAUACUCCUGAUAGACCCACCUCAAAUGUUCAAGAAUUAUCUAAUCACAUUAAAAGCAUAUCAAGUGCUGAAGUUUACAAACAUAAAAAAAUCACUGAAUCGAUUACAAAUUUCAUCAUCAUGGACCAUAAACCGUUUUCAGUUGUAGAAAGUAAGGGAUUUAUACAACUAAUAAAGGAAGUUGUGCCUUUAUAUAAAAUUUCUUCAAUAUAAACUUUUAAUAAACGUAUAAACGAAAAAUAUGAAAUGUCAGAAAUUUUCAAAAAAUAUGUAAAAGAAGCAGAGCAUUACUCUAUUACGUAUGGACGGAGACAAUGCAAAAUAAGUCGUUUGUUGGAGUCACUAUACAUUUUUUAGAAAAUUCCAAGCUCACGAGCGGAUCUCUGGGAGUUUUUGAACUGUUUGAAAAACUUACAGCUGAAUACGACAAAAGAGACUCACAGAUAAUGUUUCAAUUGAUAAAGUAUCAGCUAUAGUGAAUGAUAGCACGGUGAUGAAAGUAAAUCGAGAGAUGUUUGGCGAAAAAAAAUUAUACCUUGUUUUGCUCACACAGUGAAUUUAGUUGUCACGACUUCAUUGAAUAAAUCUAAAGGUGCAUCUACCAUGAUAAUUAAAGUAUGUGAAAUUGUAAAAUUCAUAAAACGUAGUGUCAAUGCUAGUAACGAAUGCAAAGAGAGAAUGGAAUGAAGGAAGGACAAACAAAGAAAUCAAUAUUACACGUUCGUACGCGGUGGAAUUCGACCUAUUAUAUGUUGGAACGUUUUAUGGACUUAUUUGAAACAAUUGGCGCGAUAUUGUUAUGCCGUUCAGUUGCACCACCAAUGAUAACUUCAAGUGAAGUAGGCUGUCUACGCGAAAUCAUUCAACUUUUGCAACCCUUUGAGAGAUUGAUAAAAGAAAUUUGUGGGCAAAAUUAUAUCACAGUGAGUAAAGUCAUUCCUUUUGUAAGCUGCUUACGAAACAUGCUCGAUGAAUAUUCAACAUUUUAAUGCACCCUGUCAUUAAAAGUAGAAAUUGACAAAUAUGUUUCAAGGAGAUUUGACAAACUAGAGCAUUGUUUAUCGUUGGCAAUUGCUACCGUCUUGGUCCUCGUUUCAUUUUAAUGCAUUUUAAAGAUCCUAUUGCAAAGUAAAAAGUCAUAAAUUACAUUAACAAUUGCUUAAUCAGUAAUGGAAUGAGCGCAAAUUAGUCUUCUGACGAUUCGGAAAAAGGCGAUUAUAAUGAAAGUGACAUAUGGAGCAACCAUAAUAUAUUGACACACAAUAAUAUGAAAAAAAAUACGAAAUAUAAAACUAAAGCAGAAACAGAAUUUCAAAUGUUCAUGUCAUCUACUGUUACUCCAAUAAAGGAAAAUGCGUUGGAGAUGUAAGAUGACAUGAAGGCAUUAUUUCCCAGGCUUCAUAAUUUAGCUAUGAUCUAUUUGCCUAUCGUGGUAACUUCGGUACCCAGCGAGCGGUUAUCCUCUGAAGCUGGAACUUCAAUUUCCAGGAGAGGAACCGCUUACUGAGCACCAGGUUGUCAACAUUAUUAUUUUUAAACUCUGUUAAAAAAAUAAAUACAUACUUGUUUUCUGUUUAAAUAAAAUAAUGAUUAUUCUUGCAAAGUGAAUAUUUAA